rnacentral:tRNA from 1 species
GUGUGGUGGCUCAGUGGUAGAGCACUCGCCUAGCAUGCAUGAGGCACUGAGUUCAGUCCUCAGUGCCACAUA